CGCGGGGUGGAGCAGCCUGGUAGCUCGUCGGGCUCAUAACCCGAAGGUCGUCGGUUCAAAUCGGCCCCGCAACCA
rnacentral:tRNA from 1 species